rnacentral:rRNA from 1 species
GACGAACGCUGGCGGCGUGCUUAACACAUGCAAGUCGAACGGAAAGGCGCCUUUGGGGGUACUCGAGUGGCGGCCGGGUGCGUAACACGUGCGUAAGCUGCCCUUGCCUUCGGGAUAACUUCAGGAAACUGGGGCUAAUACCGGAUAGGAAUCCUUGCUGCAUGGGGGGGGUUGGAAAGCUUCGGGGGGUUUGGAUGGGUUGGCGGGGUAUCUGCUUGUUGGUGGGGUAGUGGGUUACCAAGGCGUCGACGGGUAGCCGGCCUGAGGGGGCGACCGGCCACACUGGGUCUGAGGGGCGGCCCAGGUUGCGACGGGAGGCAGAAGGGCGGAAGAUUGAACAAGGGGCGGCAGCCUGGUGCAGCAAGGCCGCGGGUGGGAAGACGGCCUUAGGGUUGAAGACCGCUUGCAGCAGGGGCGAAGCUUGUGGUGACGGUACCUGCAGAAGAAGCACCGGCUAACUACGUG